AUGAAGAAAGAUAUCGAAGUCGAGUUACAAAAUUUGGAUUCUCGGAUUUGCUUAACAUCUGAUAUGUGGACUUCAUCACAGUGCUUGGGCUAUAUGUCCAUCACCGCCCACUAUAUCAAUGCAGAAUUCAUCUACAAGAAGAAGAUCAUAAGUUUCGCAGAGGUGAAGUAUCCUCAAACGGGCUAUGCGAUAGAAGAGGAACUUGUUGGUUGCCUAACAGAAUGGGGCAUAAGGGGCAAGCUGUUCACUUUGACACUAGAUAAUGCCAGCAAUAAUACUAAUGCACGUGAGUUAAUAAAAUAUCACAAACAUGAGCUACUCCUUGAAGGUCAACAUUUGCAUGUGAGGUGUUGUGCACACAUUCUCAAUAUCUUGGUUCAGGAUGGAAUGAAUAUAAUCCAUGAAGCUAUUGACAUGAUACGAGAGUUGCUGAAGUUUAUUGACUCUUCUCCUUCAAGACUUCAGGAUUUCAAUACAAUUGCAAGUGGGAUGGGUCUACCUUCAAAGAAAGGUAUCUCUGUUGAUACACCAACUAGAUGGAACUCAACAUGGAAAAUGCUUGUAGAAGCAUUGAUAUACAAAUCUGUACUCACUAGUUAUGCAACUCGAAAGAUGAUAGAAUCUCCAAGUGAGCAAUAG
rnacentral:rRNA from 1 species